AGUCCACAUUUCUGUCCUUUGAGGGUUUAUGAAAAGACUGGUUUCUGUCCCAACAUACAGAGAAGACACAUCCUAAGAACAGGUAUAAAAAUAAAUACAAAUAAGUUGGAGACAUCAAACUGAAAAGCUUCUGCAGAGUAAAAGGAAAUGGAAGAAGCCUUACAGGACAAGAAAAAAACAUCUGCAAACCAUAUACUUGAUGGAGAGACUAAAGAAAGAAAAUGG